UACGUAGGGGGCAAGCGUUGUCCGGAAUCAUUGGGCGUAAAGAGCGUGUAGGCGGCUCGGUAAGUCCGCUCUGAAAGCCCGGGGCUCAACCCCGGGAGGCGGGCGGAUACUGUCGGGCUAGAGUCCGGAAGAGGCAAGUGGAAUUCCCGGUGUAGCGGUGAAAUGCGCAGAUAUCGGGAGGAACACCUAUGGCGAAGGCAGCUCGCUGGGACGUUACUGACGCUGAGACGCGAAAGCGUGGGGAGCAAACAGG
rnacentral:rRNA from 1 species